GUCUCUGGAGUGACUGUGGAUGCUGACAGAACGCGUGGCCGCUUUGCCGUCACUGUUCGUGCAGAGUGCCUGUUGGGGACUCUCCUGUAACCCAAAGGAGUGGCGGAAGGAUGGAGCUUCAGGCAUUGAGGGCCAGGAAAUGAACGCGGAAGACUGAAUCCUUAGGGGACCCCAGCUCAGGGCCAGGGAAAAAAGAGGAAAAGCCAUCAGCAAUACCAAGGGAAACCGUAAGCUAAGACCACGUUGCUUCCAACUGAACUGGCCACUCACACUGGGAUACUGAGCAGCGAACAGACCACAAGGAAGACAUCACUGUUGGAUCCUGUUGGAAACCAACAGCUACAGCAAAACACUCAGGUGACCGGCCUGCCUCAGCCUCAGUCUUGAUUCAGAGCCUCAUGGAGUUUCUUUAAUUAGCAAGUUUACAUUCAUGGAGUCUUGUGAAAAUGAUUAGAUAAAUUGCAGAGAAAUAAAUAAGUAUUUUGUACAUCCGAGUAUUAUUGUUAAUUUCCACCUGGCUACAUGAGACUCCCUCCUCUGAGUUUUCUCUCUGUGCCCUUUUGCUGUGGACAGAAGGUACCCUGCUCAUUCAUCCAUCCAGCUGGUGAGCCAGGGGCAGCCCGGAGGGAGGAGUGGAGGGGACGUGGGCCUGGAAUUAGACCGAGCUGGGUGUGUCCCCAGCUCUGGCCGCACUGCCAGGCUCUGGCUUCAUUACUAUGAAAUGAGGGGUGGGGUGGGUAUCUGGUCUCCCACUCCCCAUUACUGAGGGGUUCUGGGUCUCUCCUCCACCCUCUGAUUCCUUCCCCUCUUCUGUUCCAGUCCGGAAUGCCUCCUUUCUGCCUAAAUGCCUCUGAUCUUCAUUAGAUCAUCAUCAGCUGCAGACCCAUGAUCAUCAUCAGCUGAUCAUCAUCAUCAUCAGCUGCUCAUCAUCAGCUGCAGACUGGGCCUGACCUGGGAGGCACCGGCCCUCCGCUUCCAGCGCUCUCCAGCUAGGAUUUCCUGCAGAACAGUGGCAAAGAGUUCGCCCAGAGCUGCGUCCUCUCACUGGGAAGCAACGCUGAGUCAGGGUUACCUGGCUCCACUGUGCCCCUAGCGAGGUGAAAUUGUACCAUCAAAUUCUCACAACAACAUUGGUUCUCCUUUAAGGAUAAGGAGGCUACCGCCCAAAGAGCUUGCGCACUGGGUGCACAGCCACUCAGGCCAUCUUCCAGAGCGGGAUGUCUGACUCCAGAGCCCGCCAGCCCACACUGCUCUCCUGAGGACUGGGUUUCUCUGGCCUGAGUCUGCCCGAGUCUACAGGAAGAACCCUGCUGGCACCCCGGUAAGCCCCUCUAGACCUUGGAACUCUAACUGCUCUCAGAGCUCACUUUUCAGUUAGCCUAUAAGGCAGAGGUGUCCAGUCUUUUGGCUUUCCUUGGCCACAUUGGAAGAAGAAUUGGCUUGUGUCACACAUAAAAUACAGUAACACUAAUGAUAGCUGAUGAGCUAAAAACAGUGAAAAAUCACAAACUCAUAAUGUUUUAAGAAAGUUUGUAAAUUUGUGUUGGGCUGCAUUCAAAGCCAUUCUGGGCUACGGGUUGGACAAGCUUGCUGUAAUGGAUCAGAGAUAUCUACAGUCUUAAAGAAGAAACAGCUCCCAGGCCUGUUAGACCUGUCAGGGCACUCACUAAAUGCUGUGAGCAGGGGAAGGGGCAGGCCUGGGCAGUGGGGUCCUCAGUGGGGGCCCAGCUGUGUCUCCAUCAUCUGGGGAGCUGGGAACAGCACACCAGGGUUUGUUUGCCUCCUGGGAAAGUUCUCACUUGCAGAAAGAGAGAACAGAGGCGCGAAAGCUAGGCCAUGUUCGUUAUUCCUUCAUUCCCUAUUUAUUGAGCUUUGACAACAUAUGAAGGACUGCUUGACUGAUUGACUGAUUGGGACAGGGUCUCACUCUGUCAUUUAGGCGGGAGUGCAGUGGUGCAACCUCAGCUCACUGUAACUUCCGCCUCCUGGACUCAAGCCAUCCUCCUA